AUUGAACGCUGGCGGCAUGCCUUACACAUGCAAGUCGAACGGCAGCACGGGCUUCGGUCUGGUGGCGAGUGGCGAACGGGUGAGUAAUAUAUCGGAACGUACCCAGAAGUGGGGGAUAACGUAGCGAAAGUUACGCUAAUACCGCAUACGAUCUACGGAUGAAAGUGGGGGAUCGCAAGACCUCAUGCUUUUGGAGCGGCCGAUAUCUGAUUAGCUAGUUGGUAGGGUAAAGGCCUACCAAGGCGACGAUCAGUAGCUGGUCUGAGAGGACGACCAGCCACACUGGAACUGAGACACGGUCCAAACUCCUACGGGAGGCAGCAGUGGGGAAUUUUGGACAAUGGGCGCAAGCCUGAUCCAGCAAUGCCGCGUGAGUGAAGAAGGCCUUCGGGUUGUAAAGCUCUUUUGUCAGGGAAGAAACGGCAGAGGCUAAUAUCCUUUGCUAAUGACGGUACCUGAAGAAUAAGCACCGGCUAACUACGUGCCAGCCGCCGCCUGUAA
rnacentral:rRNA from 1 species